rnacentral:lncRNA from 1 species
GUGGACACUUGAACCAUGAUUUUGAACUUAAAAUGUACAUACUGCAAUACACCAAAUAUUGAGGUAAUGUGCUUGAGUUUCUAUUGAUUUUAAGGAGUACAUCAUGAACUUUGCAGGAUAUAGAAUGGUUAAGAUCUAUCACAAACUUGCCGAUUCUGAUCAAGGGGGUACUCACUUGUGAAGAUGGUAAGCUCAAGGCUCUAUUUUAUGAUGUUUGCACCAUUUCAUUUUAAUUGUAUUCCUCCAAAAUACAAGCAUUGAUGCUUUUGUUUAGUGAAGCAUUCUUCCAUUGUCUUUUUGGUCUAACUCUUACCUCCCCCUGCCCAAGGAAAAACAAUAAUUCCCCUUUGGUACUACACUUGUCUUCUAAUGUUUGAUUGUUUCUGUAGGCCAUCAGAAAAUCCAUUUAAAUGCUGCCUUUGUGUUUUUUUUUUUCUUUAAUAGUUGAGAGAGUUUAAUCUUUGUUUAUUUAUUGUGCAAUUUCCCCAUGGUUGAACAAGAUUAUUGAUUCUGUAUAAUGCCACUGGCAGCAAUUAAGGCUGUGGAAGUAGGAGUUUCUGGGAUUAUCGUCUCCAAUCAUGGAGCUCGCCAGCUAGAUUACGUUCCGGCCACUAUUUCGGCCCUGGAAGAGGUGAUUCUCUUUUUCUGCCUUUAUGGAGUUGCUCUAUUUUGCAGAUACAGUGCUUAGAUUUACAGGCUUAUCAAGACCUUAAUCACAUGCAUGUUUUUAACUAUCCAUAACCUUUUCAAUAUUUCGAUAUCCCUACUCUACAAGUGGCUGGUAUAAAUUUCUCAAAAUUUUUAUCCGUGAGCUCCAGGACUUGCUUCUAAUUUCCACCAUUUUCCUGAAUCAAUAUUGAUAUAAUGAGUUCCUCUGUAUUUUCAGAACCUUAAUGUGGUGUGUGGAUAUUAAUAUUUUAUUCCUUGAUUGCAGGUAAUAAAAGCCAAUAGUAAUAAUAGGUGUGUAAAAAUCCACACUUCUCUGUCUGGAAACUGAAAUAAUUAACAAGGAUAUAUAUUUAACGGUUUAGUUUGAAUGAAACAAUCUAUUUUCCAUUUUGUUUCUUCUAAUCUGACCACGUCUUUACUUCCCAUCUUAUUCUGCUAAUCCUCUGCCAAGACCAAAAACAAAAAUGGUAGCUUAAUGUCACAAGAUGCUUCAAAUGACCCUCCCCAUGGGCUUAUAUAGGAGGAGAGAAGCUUCUAGAGACCCUUGGAGACAUCCACACUUAGCCACUAGUGGGAAGAGUGUGGAAGGUUCUAGAAAUGCCUAGAGAAGUCCACACAACUCUACACUAUGGAAGAAGGCAUGAGAAGGGUCCAAAGCUUUCUAGAGAAAUCUAGAAGUCUCUUGUAUAUAAGCUUGUACAUAGAAUAGUGUAGGACAUUCUAGAAUAUUCAUGAAUUGUAAGGAACCCUCCAAGGUUCUAGAGAGUUCCAUUGGUGCCUAUAAAUAGGUGAGGGCCUCAUUUGGCCAGGGCACCACCCAAAUCACUUCCUAACCAAGCAAGUGAGCUUCCAAGCACUUGUAAAGGUUUCCUUGAGUUAGUGAAAGCUUCCAUUCUUUAAAGAGUUGCCUACUAAGCUUCUUAAGCUUUCGAGUCGCGAGCAUCUUAGCCUAGCAAGCUAAGCAUUGGGAGCAAGGCUGACUUAGCAAGAUCAAGCAUCUUGACUUGUCUAAGUGCCGCACGAGCUUAGUGAACGACUAAGUCCAUGACAUUAAGCAUUCACAAACAUGAGAUAAAUAUAAAUUCACUGAUUGAGAAAUAGGUAAAUGCGCCCGCUCACCUAAAUGCAUGAGUCCAGAGUUUCUCAAACUCCAUUGGUCUCCAUCUUCAUUUUAGCUUUGUACACUUUAUCAUGUGGUUUAUACGCUGAUAUUUAAGUUCAUGAAGCAAUGUUGGUUAGCGAAAUUCAGAAGAGAAUGGAAUGAGCAGCACAUAUAGAAGCACUAAUUGUGGUGACCAUAUGUAUUACCUGGCAUUUGGUUGUGGGUUAGGAUUAAACAAGAACUCAUAGCAAUCUCCCCUCAUUAAAAGCCUUUUCCUAGAAUUUAUGCAGGCAUCUGAAAGUAAGAAAUGAAUGUUGACUGCAUUUCCCAUGGGAUUUUUUUUUUUUUUUUAAUUUAGUUACCAGUAGGGAGUAUCCUGUUUGGCAAAGACAAUUUCAGUUACCAAUGGAAAGAUAUCUGAUAAAGAAAGUGAGCAUUCUUGUCUAUCCUGGUCAGGUGGUUCGAGCUGUUGGAGGGAGGGUUCCUGUUCUCUUAGAUGGAGGAAUACGGCGUGGAACAGAUGUCUUCAAGGCACUAGCCCUUGGUGCACAGGCUGUUUUGGUAAGGUUUUCUCCCCCAACUGUUCAAUUGUCUGAAGUAUGGGCUUUGUGCUGCACUUCUCUUUCAUUGUCACCAUCAUUUUAACACAUUGGCAUCCUGCUAUAAUUCAGCACAUAAUUUCUGUCUCUGGGGGUCUAAUCCUCAUGGAUAUGCUGCAGAAUACUGGGCUGAACCACUACAGUUGUAUCCCAAACGAUGAUUUAACCUCCCCAUAUUUGUUUUGUCCUGCUUGUGGCUCUCAGCUUUCAUCCCUACUUAUCUUGUUCAUGUAAUUCUUGCAGGUUGGAAGGCCAGUAAUCUAUGGGCUGGCUGCAAAGGGAGAACAUGGGGUGAGGCGGGUCCUUGAAAUGCUGAAGGAUGAGCUCGAGAUCACCAUGGCCCUCUCAGGCUGUUCCAGUGUGAAGGAUAUCAGCAGGAGGCAUGUGAGGACGGAGCGAGACAGACUCCAGUCCAUGCUGUAACUCGAUGUUGUAAGUUAAAAUUAUAUCCUGCAGAAGGAUGGUUGAAUAAUCUGUACCACAUCUAAUAAUGUGAUGGAGUUUAUGCAUUCUACUCUUAUUCAAUAAAGGAAAUUGGUUCCUUGAUGCUCUACUGCAUGCUUCAUUUAACAUUAUGCAGAUAAGCAUUUGUUCCCAAAGUCCUCUCGUAUGAAAAUACGAAAAUUAUAGUUUUUACUUCGGCUUCAACUUCCUGCUGAGGCAAAAAACAAUCUGGAUUAGUUGUUCCUCUACCAAAGAAAUGGGCUUGGUACAUUUUCCAAGCCAGAUGUUGUAUUCCCAUAGAAGAGUUGGAUCUUUUGGUAAUUGUAGCCACAGGGCACCAUUAGGAAGGAUGAACCAUUUUCCUCACUAAACCAAACAAAACACCCCCCUUCCCCACUCUCCUGCCUACUCCAUUUGUCCAGAGACUCCAUUCAGACAAAACCAGCAACACCCAUGUGUUAGUUCAGGGGCCUUCAUCAAAAGAACUCCAUAGAGAAAAGAUGAGCCAAUACCCAGGUUUGUAAGUUCAGUGCCAUUCAUCAGGAUCCUCCAUCUCUACAAGAUGGGAAAUGCCCAGGUAGCUAAAGUUCAAUGCGUACCUCUCCAGCCGUCUUUCCCAUCCGGUGGUCUAACUUUCCAUCUCAUAAUUGUUGACUUUACUAUUUAUGGGAUAGCAUAAAAGAUAAGAUAAGUUACGGCCCAACUUAUCUAUUUGAUGUUCAACUAAACAUGAGACAACAAUAAGAUGUUAUUCAUUAAUUAAGGUAUAUGGUAAAUUUUUUUAUAUUCCUUAUUUUGCAAAAUAGAAAAUUUUAAUUAAGUUUUAAAUAUUAUAAUCAUCAUAUUAUUAAACCUAAUAAAAUUCUCAUAUUUUAUUUAAUAAUAAAUAUUAGAAUGUAGUAUAAUUUUUACUUUAAAUAAAUAUGAAACAUUGAAAAAUAAUAUAUAUUUUAUUUUGGUUUUUUUUCAUUAUGUUAUAUUAUUGCAUAUACUACAUUAAGAUUUCAUAUUUAUUGGACAUAAUAUUUAAUUACAUAUUUUAUUGAAAAUGAUAUCUUAAAAUCUUUGGAUAUAUCUUUGGAUAGGUAUUUUCCAUUCAAGAAAAUGUGAUGUUUUAAGAUAUAUUUUAUAUCAUAUUCUAUCCAUUUAGAAAUCAUUCUUAUCCGUUUUUUAAAUUUUUGAUAACUUUUAAAUAUUUUUUAAUUGUUUUUUAGGAAGGUUUUCAAAAUAUUAUAAUAAAUAUAAAGAAUAAUUAAAAAUAAAAUUUAUUUUAAAAUAUUUAAAAAUGCGGAAAACAAGAUAAGAAUACAUUAAAUUUCCAAAUAAAUAUUUAAUUUAGAAAAUACUACAUAAUUGUUUUUUAUUUUGGAGAACUUUUUUGAAAACAUUUACAAAAAAGACCGUUAGUUCCCAUAUAUAUCAAUUGUGAAGUGAGGUUGAUGAUAUUCUAGAAACCUGAAGGAGAUGAAUGAUAUUAUCACAAACCUCAGGGAGGUAACUGAUAUUUUCUCUUCCUCCUGCUUCUCUUUGUUCGCCGCCUUUUCCGUGAGUCACUCGCCGAGGAAUCAAUCAACACGAAGGCUUGCAAAGUUUAAAUUUCCAAACGACGUCGUUUUAACCUCUCUAGCCGAUAUAGCAGCCACCAUUUGCCCUCGAAAAUGACGAUCAUACCCUUGUAAUGUUUACAAACAGGUACACUAGGAAAAGCACCAGCGAUCGGCAUCAUCCAAAGACAUUUCUUUCAGUAGCAGCUCAUCUUUUCAUUCACAUUCAGGCACUGCAGAAGCUCUCUCUGAAUCGAAGGUAUAUUUACUUAUUUUUCUAUUUUCUAUAUAUAUAUAUAUAUAUAUAUAUAUAUAUAUAUAUUACUGAUUAUCAACAUUCUUUUAUUCUCUUGUGAAUUUGAAUGUGUAUAUAUAUAGCGGUAUUUUGUACUGGUUCUGAUGAACCUAGAUAAAUUAUCAACUGUUUUCAUGUUCUUAGUUUGAAAGUUUUCAACCCUUAAAGAAGAUUUGAAUUUUUCCAUCAAUAAAAGGUGUGGUUUUGGCUUCUGAUGGCUGUUAAAGUGAAGUUUAUUAGCCUAUUUAGGUGUAUAUUGGAAGAAUAUUGUGUAAUUGCAACUGAAUGAGGAAUUUUUUUUUUUUUUCUUUUCAACCUUCAAAAUGAUACAGCUGGACUUCCCCACAUGCUUACUUAUGGAAUCACUUAAUGCAGAAAAUGAGUGAUAAACCUUAUGUGGAGUGUGCAUUUCCUACACAUGUCCAACAAUAAGAGACCAAUCUAAUUGAACAUGGAGUGAGGCUGCUUCAAAGUUCAAAUGUUGGGACAACAAUGUAGAAUGGAUUCUUAUCUGAAGAUGUGGUCCAAAUUUUCGAUUCAGCCCUAGUCCACUAUCAAUUUGGAUUGGUUUCCUGUUGUUUUGAUAUGGGGGACAUUAUGCAGUCCACUUGCUGUGCCCUCUUUCACCUCUUAGCCCUAAUCUUUGUUGUUCAAUUGUGUCUUUUGCCUUGUUGCUCUUACUUUGGUAACUCUGCUCUUACCUUGACAACCCAGAUUUUUACUCUUACUAAUACCUUUCACUUUUGAAUUUGAGCAGCGUACAUUGUGGCUUUGCAUGUAUCAAUUAUAUGUGGCAACUAUAUCUCACCAAAGCACUAAACGCAUGCAACUUCGUGUAAUUUGGAGUUUCCUAAGCUCAUAAUUGUAGUGAAUGGCAAAUGGCAAGGCUAGUGAUAUUAAAAAAUAAUAAGAGGUCAACACACGGUCUUCAUGUUAACCUUGAAAUUAAUAUAAAAUGUAACAUUGCUCCUAAAAAGUUCAGUCUAGGCUGGAUAAAGAACAUGUCUCUAUAAUUCUCCGUUUUAGCCAAGCUUUGAUCAGCAAACGGAUCCUUAGUUGAUGUCAUCUUGACAUCAUUCAUAAUCUUAUCUUCCAUGCUUAUUUUUUAUGCUUAUGAUUUGGUGCCAUUGUGGGAACAGUCUAGUUAUAAUUUUUACAAAAUUUCCUUUAUACCACUUUUGAAGUUCCUGGCUAUUCCCUUGUUAAUUUAUCAUCCCUAGAAACCUUUUCAUAUUUUACUUCUUUUAUGUACUACCUUAAACUACUACUUCUUCAGCAUAAUUUUCUGCAUCAAAGACCUUCGAAUGCUCAUUCUGAGGUAGCAAGGCAAUUUUAUCCUUACUAAAGCCUUCAGAACACCUAAUUAGGGGUGGCAAGCCAGUUUCCACCUUUAUGUACCUAAGUGAGGUGACAGCAUACAGGCUAAAGGCCUUAGAAUGCCUAUUAAGUGGCAGUGAGGCAACUAACACCCUUAUGUACCUAAGAAGAGGUAAUAGGGUACAAACUGAAAGCACUCAAAAGACCUAACCAGAGGUGAUCUGAUAUAACCCAGGUUCCCUUAAUGCCUAAUCCAAGGUAGAGAGGCAACUCAAGCCCUUUCAGCGGCUACUCAAGGCAGUCAAUGAAUCUGCCAUUUUUCCAUCUUUUAACCACUCUUCCUGAGUGCUUUAAUGUCUUUUCUUGCUAGCUCUUCUUGAACUCUCAGUAAUUCUUCUUUCUUUUUUCUUUUUUUCUUUUAGAUAGCUAAAUUUUUGUCUCCAUAGGGACUUGAAGCCAAACCUUCCACAAACCCAUAAAAAAGUAACAUCAAUCUCUAAAAAUCUCUUCUUGGACUAGAUAAAUAUUAGGUCCCAGUUACCUAAGCUUAACAAGGAAAGAUCCUUGGCAGACACCAUGCUGACAAAUUGAUAUUCUUAUUUUCCAUGCUUACAUCUUUGUGUUUACAGGAUAAUUUCCUUAGUACUUUUCUUACCUUUUUUAGUUUCCUAUCAUCCUAUGUCAUCUUGAAGUUUCCUAUCUUUUUAUUUUUGUUGCUAGGCUUUGUGUUUAUUUUUGGUAAUUAAGUCAUGUUUCUUAUCUUUUUAAGCUUCCUAUUUUAUUUUCAUGGUUAUUUUUGGUUGUUAAGUAAUUAAGAGAAAGGGAGGUUUCUUACCCUUUGGUUUUUCAUUUUAGGUUUCUUUUGUAGGUUUCUUUGUCUCUUUAGGUUUUUCUAUUUUACUUCAUGUUUACCUUACCAUUAAGCAAUUAGUACAAGGUUCUCAUUUUUUAGGUUUAUAUUUUAUGUUUUCGGGUUUCUUUAUCUUUUCAUCUUUUGUAUUUUUUUCAUAUUAGGUUUCCUAUUUUAUCUUCUUGUUUAUCCUUGGUAAUUAAGCUGUCACAAUUUUUUAUUAUUUCUAGGAUCAUGAAAGCUACAAAUACUUGAUUAUAGCUAGGGAUCAAGGAUUGAUUGUUAUUAUUUGGUUUUCUUUAUAUUUUAUUACAAUUUGAGUUUUCAUUUUUUUUCUUGUUCUUAUUUGAUUUUUUUACUUUUUAAUUGAGUUAUUUCUGUGAAGGUGUUAUCUUUUGGUAAGGUGACAUUGUUGUUGGAAUAAUCAACAACUGGUACGAUAGUUCACUUGUUUACCUAUAGGCCCAAGGAGCAGUUGAACUACUUUUCAUUUUAAGAGAUCACAUUUAAGGGGUGUGUAUAAAUAUAAUGGAGUGAUUAUUUUGUUCAAAUUUAGCUAUGAUUCAUUUUAUGAAUUAAAAGUACACAUAUUUGAGUUUCCUGCUAUUCGUGGCCCCAUUUUUCGGAUUGGAGCAAUAGCUUUAUUUUAUUUUUCCUAGACCUGCUUGUGUUAUGUUUUCUAUGCUAUGAUGCCUUUUCUUUAGUUCCUAUAUAUAAUUAAGUCUGAGUUGCUUUGAAACUUAAAUUUAUCUCAUUCUAGUUUGCUUCUAUGUUAUAGAGAAGUGAGUUUUUAUAGCAAAAGAACAACAAAUUUUACAAGGUUCUGAGUAGGAAGUGUAGAAUCAUGGUUGCCAAGUGGAGCAUCUUCUAAGCCUUUUCAAAUUUAUGCAUGGGAUGGUUACUUGAGAUUUAUGCAGUUGCAUAUAGGACUAGCUGUUGGAAAACUAAACAUUGUUUAAUGUUCAUGUUUCCAGUACUAAUGGCAGCUGAACCGGUCAAUGUGAAUGAGUUCCAAGAACUGGCUAGACAAUCACUUCCAAAAAUGUACUAUGAUUUCUUCUCUGGGGGUGCUGAGGACCAGCACACACUAAGGGAGAACGUAGAAGCAUUUAGCAGAAUCACGUAAUGCUCUUGACCCGUUAUUGUUCAAGUGGCUAACAAAAUAAAACACUGAACUAUCCUUUAUUUAUGGCUUCAGGUUUCAUCCAAGAAUUCUUGUGGAUGUGAGCAAAAUAGAUAUGUCAACUACUGUAUUGGGUUUCAAUAUCUCAUCACCGAUUAUGAUUGCUCCAACUGCUAUGCAUAAGUUGGCACACCCUGAAGGUCUAAAUACUCUUGCUAGAGGAUUAUCUUGAAAUGUGAUAUGCAAUAUUUAGUACACUAGUGUUUUGUGUUGAUUUCAGGAGAGAUUGCAACAGCCAGAGCAGCAGCUGCAUGUAACACCAUAAUGGUACUAGUGUAUCUUGGUUUUAUCAUAUCAGCUUAGUCAAGAUAUUUGAUCACUGAGUUAUUUUUCUCUACAGGUGUUAUCCUUCAUGUCUACCUGCACCGUGGAAGAAGUUGCUUCUAGCUGCAAUGCUGUUCGAUUCUUGCAAUUAUAUGUAUUCCAUUUUUCUUAAGCUCUACUGAAUUCAAAUUUCCUUCACGAACUUCCAUUUUUCUUUAGCAGCAUCAAUUUUUGCCUUUUUUGCUUGGAAUUUUAUGAUCCCAAUUUUAGAAUCUCAAGUUGGAUUUGUUAUCCAUCUGCAAAUAGGUAUUUAAGAGAAGGGAUGUAUCAGCUCAGUUAGUGCAAAGAGCUGAAAGAAAUGGAUUCAAGGCUAUUGUUCUAACUGCUGAUACUCCAAGACUUGGUCGAAGGGAGGCAGACAUAAAAAACAGGUGAAACAUCAUCUCCUUCUCUGAUACCUUUUUUCAUUAACUACAUGUUUAUUCCCUUGGUAGUGCUAUGAUAUGCAUAACCUGAUGGGAUAUGACAUUGGUUUAGUCUAUAAGAAAAAAAUUUCUUUUCUAUCUUAUGGACAUUGGAUUUGAUUCGAAAAACUAUAUUGAUUUUGAAUAUAAAAGUCAAGUUUUAUAUUUGCAAUAUCUAGUGCAUCACAUGGAAAAGUAUCUGUUACCAAACUUUUGCAGAAUGGUCUCACCUCGGUUGAAGAAUUUUGAAGGUCUCAUAUCAACUGAAGUUGUCACUGUAAGUAGAACAGUUGAAUAAUAUCUUCCAGUUUUGUACAUUUUAAAUUUUCCUAGAAGUAAUGCAUGAGCUUCUUUGCCCUUUUAUUAUUAUUUUUUUGGUGGCACGUGAAUCUAACAAACAAGAAGCUUUUAUACAACACUCUUAGGCCUCAUUUGAUAUAUAUAUAUAUAUUUUUGGCUUUAGCCUGAAGCUGAAGUUGUUAACCAUGAUUUCAAAGGGUAAUAAUGGGAACUAUGAAAUUAUUAUUAAACAUCAAGAACUUUUUUCAUGAACUAGAAAUGAGCUUCCAUGAGAGACAACAUUGUCCCUACUUCAGUGCAAGGCUUUUUUAGAGCUUGUUUUUAAAAUUACCCCAAACACAUAAGAAACACUUAUUGGACUUUCAAACACUAGACUCACCCCAAUCCCAGCCAUUCCCUUUUCAGCUUGAGCCAAGGCCCAGGGUUGUGAUUAGGUUUCAUGCUGCUAAUUGUACACUUAAAUCUGGGGAAGUUUUUCUUUCAUACAUGCAUAUGAUUGCAUGCCACUUAAAGAGCACCUACCUUACAAUUUAAUGGAAAAUUUAUUGCCACAAAAAAAGUUCCUUGUUCCAGGACCACCAUUGGGUUUAAAUGGUGUGAGCUUGUAUAUUUAUGAAAAUGAUAUAUUUGCUGAAAUAAAUACUGCUGCACAAGGUCUCCCUCUCUCUGUUUCUCUCUUUCUGGUUGCCAUUUGGUCAAAUUAGAACAGGCAUACUCUUUUUGCUUAUGAAAUGCAUAGAGAAAUAUGUUAACACUGCAUAUUGGAUCCAAAAUAAAGAGACUGUUUUAUCUCAUACUGCAGUUUACAAUAGAUUUGAUGGGUGGAGACCCAUGUUAUUUGAUCUAAAUCAUGACCAUCAACUGGUUUACGUGAAUACUUAAAUCAUAUUGUGAUACUUUUUAGAAAAAAACAAUAAUAAUGAUUUUGUUAAACUGUUUUUUAAAAUUUUGCAGGACAAGGGUUCAAAUAUUGAAGCUUUAGCAUCAGGAAUGUUUGAUGCUUCUUUGUCUUGGAAGGUAUUUGCUGAUAAACUAAUUUGGUUACUGUAUAGUAUGUUUCCUGAAAAGCUCUCAUGGAGGUGUUAAUCUAACUUUCUAUUCCUUGCAUGAAAAUAUCACUUAGGAAGCUGUGUGAAUUAUGCAGCCUACUCAUAAUAGAAAUAUUCUGUGGGUUAUCUCACCACUUUACACAAAGGUUGAUGCAGGAACAUAUAGCCAUGAAGCUCUUAGAUGCUCUUAAUUUUAAUUCUGGUUUGGUGGACACUU